UACCAGCACCCCGAGUGGUCGGGACGAUUAUUGGGCCUAAAGCCUCCGUAGCCGGUUCUGCAAGUCCCCCGUUAAAUCCAGCUGCUCAACAGAUGGGCCGCGGAGGAUACUACAGAGCUAGGAGGCAGGAGAGGCAAGCGGUACUCAGUGGGUAGGGGUAAAAUCCUUUGAUCCAUUGAAGACCACCAGUGGCGAAGGCGGCUUGCCAGAACGCGCUCGACGGUGAGGGAUGAAAGCUGGGGGAGCAAACCGG
rnacentral:rRNA from 1 species